UGUGGGCUGGGCUGACUUGAGAGCUCCUUACAGGCAGGGCCAGAGAGCCUCUCUUCAAUCUGCUUCCCCACCUGCUCCCAGCAAGGAGAGUGAAGCCCCAGGAUUGUGAGGUUCACCUCCUGAUCCCACCAGGGCUGAGAUGGAUUUCCAACCCCUGGACCUUUCCCCAGUGAGACCAUCCUGUUCUCUAGAAGCCCUCACUGAGCAUUUGUUCUGAAGUUCUGGUGUUUCCAGGCCUGGAGCAGGAGGAAUAAAGAGUCAGAGUAAUGAAGACCAUCUCCACCAAUCUCCAGCCUUCUCACCUUCCCCAGGCCUCUGGAUGUGUUUGCUGCCUGACUUAACACAUCUCUGAAGAGUGCCUGGCACAUCAUGGUUCAAAACACGAGUCACCGUCAUCAUCGUCACCGUCAUCAUCGUCACCGUCAUCAUCGCCAUCCUCAUCAUCACCCUCAUCCAUAGCUUUGGGAGAGGAAUCUGGAGCAAAAGUAGGAGGCAUCUGCGUUCCUGAACCAUCAGCCACAGCAGUGCCAGGUUUAGCAAAUAAAAAUAUAAGCACAUUUACUCAU